rnacentral:rRNA from 1 species
UGGGCGUAAGAGCUCGUAGGCGGUUUGUCGCGUCUGCCGUGAAAGUCCGGGGCUCAACUCCGGAUCUGCGGUGGGUACGGGCAGACUAGAGUGAUGUAGGGGAGACUGGAAUUCCUGGUGUAGCGGUGAAAUGCGCAGAUAUCAGGAGGAACACCGAUGGCGAAGGCAGGUCUCUGGGCAUUAACUGACGCUGAGGAGCGAAAGCAUGGGGAGCGAACAGGAUUAGAUACCCUGGUAGUCCAUGCCGUAAACGUUGGGCACUAGGUGUGGGGGACAUUCCACGUUUUCCGCGCCGUAGCUAACGCAUUAAGUGCCCCGCCUGGGGAGUACGGCCGCAAGGCUAAAACUCAAAGGAAUUGACGGGGGCCCGCACAAGCGGCGGAGCAUGCGGAUUAAUUCGAUGCAACGCGAAGAACCUUACCAAGGCUUGACAUGGACCGGACCGCCGCAGAAAUGUGGUUUCCCCUUUGGGGCCGGUUCACAGGUGGUGCAUGGUUGUCGUCAGCUCGUGUCGUGAGAUGUUGGGUUAAGUCCCGCAACGAGCGCAACCCUCGUUCUAUGUUGCCAGCGCGUUAUGGCGGGGACUCAUAGGAGACUGCCGGGGUCAACUCGGAGGAAGGUGGGGACGACGUCAAAUCAUCAUGCCCCUUAUGUCUUGGGCUUCACGCAUGCUACAAUGGCCGGUACAAAGGGUUGCGAUACUGUGAGGUGGAGCUAAUCCCAAAAAGCCGGUCUCAGUUCGGAUUGGGGUCUGCAACUCGACCCCAUGAAGUCGGAGUCGCUAGUAAUCGCAGAUCAGCAACGCUGCGGUGAAUACGUUCCCGGGCCUUGUACACACCGCCCGUCAAGUCACGAAAGUUGGUAACACCCGAAGCCG